GAAGGUAUCAUGUAUUUUCGAUUGCACAAUAAGUGCAGUCCCCAACCGUUCACAAAUUCAAUAGAAUUGAACGCUUUUACGCCUUCCCAAGCAAACGCACCAAAAGUGCUACCAAUCAUUCAAUAAUUGGCAAUGAGGCGGGCAAAAUGCUAAACAGUGGGCAACACUGGUCACACAUGACAGAGAGUUAUCGAUAUGAUUAUGUUGUCAAACUUUUGAUGUCACACAUAGAGAUGCCAUAAGGCUUAGAGAAAAGGUUACGAAUUAGUAAAAAACUUUGUGGAAAACAUAAUAUAAUAUUAAAUCAGUCCAAAGGAAAGCCAAGGUGUUCGGUGUAACAACCAUCAAUAAGUUUGCAGCUCGUUGGAAAAAAAGCUCAGAGAUGGCCUUAGUUGCUGUGUCGGUGUCGGACGGUGUCUAGACAUGUAUAUGACAAUGUUUUGUGUGUGUGUGUGUGUUGUGCCACUGCGGCCAGCCAUUCUUUGAGUAAUCCUUUGGUAGCAUAUACGAACUUUCGCAUUAACGGAGGACGUUGAAGACUGAAAGCACCCAAAUAUGAGGCACAGAUUCUACGUUUCUGUGGUUUUGCGAGAAAUUUCGACAAACGUAAAGCAGUGUGGCCAAGUUGCAUGCAGGAACCCCUACAACAGGGACUCUAUUGCGGUGGCUGCCACAUGGAAAGAGUAUGCAAUGCUUCGGCCCCACCGGCUGAAGCGCCUUCUGUUUUUGCUGCUGUCUUUUCUGUGGUUAUUUUUCUCUGCUGCUGCUGCUGCCGCUGCUGGCGUCUCUGCUGCUGCCAUCGCAUUCUGCUUUGGUAUGCAAAGUAAGCGGCAAGCUGAAGCCCUGUGCUCUCCUCUCUGCUCCCUUCUGCAGCCAAAAAAAAAAAGAGACAGCAAGUGCGUGCUCCGUCCCAUUCCGGCUAAUGCCUGCUGCCAAGCAAUCAGCUGAUGAAUUGCCAACAGAGUCUUAAAGGUUCUGUCUGCGGUCGGACUUCAGGCCGAUCGUCCCCAAAUUGACGGAUGUGGGAGAAAUUAUGUGAAGCCAAAGCAAAGUUUUGGAAGACAGAGUAUAUCAACACCAUUCCAUUCGUAGACAUACAUAUAUCUUUUAAAAGUCAGCUAUCUUCGACCCUCAUUCGUUCUUUGUAUUGGGGUUGUCGUAUGGCUUAGAUUAGUUGAGAUAGGUCUUUUCCUAUUAUAAUCUUAUCAUUUUAUAGGCUCUAAAGUUCCCAUGACUACCUCCUAAAGCUCCUUUUUGAAUCUUAAGUUGUUGAACCUAUUUUUAUCCAGAGUAAAGCCUCUGUUCUUUAGAUAUUUCCUGUUUUGUCCACCGAUUUCUUAUCACUAAAUAAGAAUUUGCAAUCAUUUUCUGGCGUAUAUUUUCUGUUCUGUAUGU